rnacentral:rRNA from 1 species
AUACGUAGGGUGCGAGCGUUGUCCGGAAUUACUGGGCGUAAAGAGCUCGUAGGUGGUUUGUCGCGUCGUCUGUGAAAUUCCGGGGCUUAACUCCGGGCGUGCAGGCGAUACGGGCAUAACUUGAGUACUGUAGGGGAGACUGGAAUUCCUGGUGUAGCGGUGAAAUGCGCAGAUAUCAGGAGGAACACCGGUGGGGAAGGCGGGUCUCUGGGCAGUAACUGACGCUGAGGAGCGAAAACAUGUGUAGCGAACAGGAUUAGAUACCCUGGUAGUCCAUGCCGUAAACGGUGGGCGGUAGGUGUAGGGGUCUUCCACGACUUCUGUGCCGUAGCUAACGCAUUAAGCGCUUCGCCUGGGGAGUACGGCCGCAAGGCUAAAACUCAAAUGAAUUGACGGGG